GCGCGCCGGUGCGACGUCAACGCAGCCGGGCGAGUUUUACCGAUCUGUGUUCCGCGGCCCGGCCGCGGCUGAGUCUUCCCAGGGUCAGGGUCAGGCGCUUUGCUGAGUCCCUUUGUGGCCGCCAUGGACAAUUCCGGGAAGGAAGCGGAGGCGAUGGCGCUGUUGGCCGAGGCGGAGCGCAAAGUGAAGAACUCGCAGUCCUUCUUCUCUGGCCUCUUUGGAGGCUCAUCCAAAAUAGAGGAAGCAUGCGAAAUCUACGCCAGAGCAGCAAACAUGUUCAAAAUGGCCAAAAACUGGAGUGCUGCUGGAAACGCGUUCUGCCAGGCUGCACAGCUGCACCUGCAGCUCCAGAGCAAGCACGACGCAGCCACCUGCUUUGUGGACGCUGGCAACGCAUUCAAGAAAGCCGACCCCCAAGAGGCCAUUAACUGUUUGAUGCGAGCAAUCGAGAUCUACACAGACAUGGGCCGAUUCACGAUUGCGGCCAAGCACCACAUCUCCAUUGCUGAGAUCUAUGAGACAGAGUUGGUGGACAUCGAGAAGGCCAUUGCCCACUACGAGCAGUCUGCAGACUACUACAAAGGCGAGGAGUCCAACAGCUCAGCCAACAAGUGUCUGCUGAAGGUGGCUGGUUACGCUGCGCUGCUGGAGCAGUAUCAGAAGGCCAUUGACAUCUACGAACAGGUGGGGACCAAUGCCAUGGACAGCCCCCUCCUCAAGUACAGCGCCAAAGACUACUUCUUCAAGGCGGCCCUCUGCCACUUCUGCAUCGACAUGCUCAACGCCAAGCUGGCUGUCCAAAAGUAUGAGGAGCUGUUCCCAGCUUUCUCUGAUUCCCGGGAAUGCAAGUUGAUGAAAAAAUUGCUAGAGGCCCACGAGGAGCAGAAUGUGGACAGCUACACCGAGUCGGUGAAGGAAUACGACUCCAUCUCCCGGCUGGACCAGUGGCUCACCACCAUGCUGCUGCGCAUCAAGAAGACCAUCCAGGGCGAUGAGGAGGACCUGCGCUAAGCCCCACCCAGCCCCCCAGUGCCCGUCUUCCUGUCCCAUCUGCUCAGAGAGAGCUUCUCCCACAGCUCCAGUCCACUGAUAAUGGCAGCAAAGACUUCUGAGACCUGAAAUUGAUUACCAUGUCUGCCCCCAUCAUGGGUGCUGGCUGAAGGAUAGUGUUACUAGGGCGGGAAGACGCCUGAAGGAAACGCACUGCUGAAGUGGCACUAGACCCACGUGCCACUCCCUCAGCGAAUAUUCACUAAGCACCUGCUGCAUGCCAGGCCCUGGGAAUACAGCAGCACUGACGGCAUUCCCAGACUGCCCUCCAGGAACUUCUACUCUCCACAUCCAGAAAUCUGGAAUCAUCACAAAUUCCUUGCCACCUCCGUUAUCCAGUCUGCCUUUGAGAACUUUCCAUCAUGUAAGAGCUGUCUCUUACAUGCUCAGCACAUAGUUUGUGAUUUUUGACACAUAUUUUCUGAAUGCCUGCUUUGUGUCAGGCCUUGUGUUCCAGGUACAGGCGAUAAGGCCGUGAUCAAGGGAGAUCAGCCUGCUGCCUUCAUGGAGCUUGCAGUCUGUGUGUGCUCGAGGUGUCCAGGACAGCUGGCCAACCCAUGUCUUCUGGAAAUGAUACACAGAUGUGCACAUAGUACCCAAACCUCCAUGGCCUUCUAGGGACAAAGCAGCACAGACAGGAACCCCUGAAGGCCCCAGAGUCGGAAACACCUGGUUUACAUCCUGUCCCCACCACUUGCUAGCAUAUCAGUCAGUGGACUUACUCUUUCUGAGCCUCCAUUUGAUUCUCUCUAAACUGGGAUAAUAAACCUCUUUGUAGAGGUUUCUUUCUUGCAAAGAUUAGUGAGACAGAUUUGCAAAGGACGUCCGGGCACAUAGUAAAAGCUCAAUGAAUCCUGAAUAAGUGAACCGGCAGGGAGGGUAACAGUAGGCCCUUGCAGAACAGUUGUAAGGAAUCAGAUUAUCAGAGCCAGCAUGACUGUCACCAAGUAGGUGUUCGAUAAAGGAGGUGGUUAUUAUAGCUGGAUCAUUUUUCCUUGGGGGCAAGAAGAAUGUAUUAAUUAUUUUAAAGGUGAUACUGUUAAGAUUAUGAACUAUAGGCCGGGCAAGGGGGCUCACGCCUAUAAUCCUAGCACUUUGGGAGGCCGAGGUGGGCGGAUCACCUGAGGUCAGGAGGUCCAGACCAGCCUGGGCAACAUGGCGAAACCCCAUCUCUACUAAAAAUAGAAAAACUAGCCAGGUGUGGUGGCGCCUGUAAUCCCAGCUGCUGGGAGGCUGAGGCAGGAGAAUCGCUUGAACCCAGGAGGCAGAGGUUGCAGUGAGCCGAGAUCGCACCACUGCACUCCAGGGUGACAGAGCAAGACUCCGUCUCAAAAAAAAAAAAAAAAAAAAUAGUGAACUGUGGAGUUACCUUGUUUGGUUUCCAGUACUGACCGCUCGUUACUAGCUGUGUGAUCUUAGGCAAGUUACUUUACCCCUCUGUGCCUCAAUUCCUUCAUCUCUAAAAUGGAUUUAAGUACCUACCUCCACCCCCUUGCGAAUUUUUAAUAAAGUAUUAGAUGGAAUGCA